GGGCCACUUGCAAAACCCUGGUGGGUGGAGCCAGGCCAUGCUCACCCCACCCACCGGAAGUCAGUGGGAGGAACAGGAAGUACAGAACGCGGGUCUGCAAGCUCAUUUGGGCUGCAGCUGCUGAAGGAGCCAGAUGCCUCCUAUCCACUCCUGAACUGGGAGACUGCUAUGGAUCCCUGCGGUGCUGAGGACUGGCUGACGCUGCUGGAGCCACACACUGACCAAGCUGAGGAGGAGCUGCUGGGACUGCCGCUGGCCUUCUAGCUGGAUGAUGCGGAGGACCCUGUACAGACCCAGGUCCAAGCCACUGACCCUUCACUGCCCUGAUUGCUGGCUAGAGACUCUGAUUGCCGAUCGCUCUACCCAGACUGCUGACCAGAGCUAUAGGCCGAGAGUGACUCAGCUGAUUCCCCGCGAGCAACGCCCCGUUAUAUAGUAAGGCAGAGUGGCCUCCCUCUGACCCAGAGGGGGAGGGGCCACCACUAACUCAUUACACUCCUACAUAGCACUUUUCAUCCAUAGAUCUCAAAAGUACUCUACAAAGAAGGGUCAGUGUCAUUAUCCCCAUUUUACAGAUGGGAAAACUGAGUCAUGGCAUGGGGAAAUCACUUGUUCAAGGUCUCCUAGCAGGCCAGUUGGCAGAACCAGGAAUUGAACCCAGGUCUCCUGAGUCCCUGUCCAGUGGCUAUGAGAUCCUAAAUUUAGGACCUACACCUAGCACUGCUGUAACCUGUUCAAUAUCCAAACAUGAAAGUGGACAAUGGUCCCCAAAUGAACACAAGAAGCUAGCCACAGGGAGAUAUCAUCUACCCAGUGUAUUCUCUCAUUAAGGAUAUGUUUUGCAGCAGUUAGUCAAAAACAUUUCUAAAACAUUAUUUUGCUAAAUAAUCUAGACAAACUUCAGGACCCAGGAGGGUCUAUUUUAAAAUAAUGAUGAAUCCUCCCCUCAAAAACUGACAAGUUAUAUUCACGUAAUAUUAUACAGAUACAGCCAAGUAGCAGCUUAGGCCAAAAUGUAGGUCUUGUAAUAAUGUAUAUUACAAAAUCUAAUCUUAGCAUAUCACAUAAAAUUACUACAAACAGAUAUUUGUAUGUAAGUGUUCACCUGCAACAUUCGUACCGCAAACACUACAGCAAUAUGGGUAGUCAAAGAGUGAAACUGAAUAUAAACAAACAAGUCUAGUUUUGCUUCUUGGGCUCCAAUCCUGCUAUUGGAUUUGCAUGGACAAACUCCUAUACAGAUCCAACUGUAGACUGAGGCCCAAUUCUGUAAAAACUUUGGGGCAGGAACCUGUCAGGAUCCUGACAUGGGCAGUUAGGAUCAAAGGUCAGAGCAGGGUCAAUCCUGAGGCUGAGAAUAGAGAAGAGUUUGUAGUCAAGUUCCAGGUCGGGGUGGAAUCCAAGGAUCAGAGUCAGAGUCAGGUUUCAGGGUCUGGCUCAACAGAUGAGGUCAAAAUCAAGCCGAGAUCAAAGCCAGGAGUUCAAGAGCAGAGUUGGUCCUGGUCACAGGUGCUGGCUUCCUCCUUUCCCCAGGGCUGGGGCACCCAGAGUCGCUACCUAUGAUCCUGGUAGCUACAACACAUCCACACUGUUGCCUGGAAACUUCCUGGAAUACACGUUGGGUUUAUAUAGGGCAGGAGCCAUGAAGCUACCGCCAGUCAGCCCCCUUGAGGCAGGACUUCCCGUGGUCUGUCUGUAGUGGGUUGUGGGUAGUGUUGCGUGAGCUGUCUACUGCAGCUGCUGGGUGGCACCAUGGAGGUUUACUGCCUGCCAGCUCUGCAGGCCGAGGUUCAAGAGCUGUGGGGACUUACAGAACUGCAUCUACCUUGAUAGCCCUAAUCCUCCAGAAAGUUCCAUGUGGGCAGACCCUUAUGCCUACAUGGAGUCCCAGCAAAGUCAAUGGGGCUCCAUUAAGGUUCACUGACUUGCAGGAUCUAGGUUUCAGUUUGUAGAGCACAUUAGGCCCCUGGUCCCAAUCAGGGCCUCUGGGUGCUACCUUCAUAUUAAAUAAGACAACGUGUCUAAGCGCAGUGAAAGGUAAAUCAGAUUUUCAAAUGUGUCCAGUUUUAGUAGAGUUAGCUCUUCCCGGUAACACAGGGAAGGAUGUAGGCUUUUCAGUCUGUUGGGCUGGAUUUUUGGCUCCUCAUUUGCAGGGGAACUAUCUGCCAGCGAAAACAGCCGAGGCAGCGCCACCACCCCCCUCCUCUGGUGAAUGGGGAAGGAGAAGUCAUGUCAGGAGUGUCUAUGGGUAGGAUGGGGCUUAAGCUCCACUCAGCUGCAGUCAAGAAUCUGGCUCAUUCACUUUUUUCUUAAACGUCCUUUUCAAUGUUACUUCUAACUGCAAAUUACAAAUGCUUCAGAGGUUUCUGCCUCUGACUUCUCCAGCCACACAGAGCUCUCAUCGGGCAAUACCAGCCCAAGUCAUUGACACCCUCUUGGGUAGCAAUCAAAUCGUUCAUGCACCAGUAAAGACUUAAUCCAGUCUGUGGCCAACAAUUUGUAUUCACAGUAUUUUCUUUAUAGCUAGACAGGCAUUUCCUGAAAAUAGAAACUCUACAUUAUCUAUGCUUAAGAUCAUAUAUAAACUUCUCCAAGAAUAUCCUGGAAAUAUAACAAAACCGAUGCCAGCCUGACCCUACUCAUUAGCAUGUACCGAUAGCAUAUGUUCAUAAAGAACUUGUAGACUGUAUGUGUACAAUCAAAUUAACCUUUGGACUGCUGGCAUUUGGAACAUAAUUUGGGUUUCCAAAUGUAUAUACUGUGCUCUGCUCAGUGCUGUUACUACUACAGAAAUAAUAUCCUCUAAAAUAAAGUAGGCUGAUAAGAGUUGAAUGUUUCAACUUCUAAAUCUAGUUCAACAUUCUUCGAUACUCAACACAAAUGUGAUUAAAUUCUUUUGUGUAGCUAUAAUUAUUUGUGUUUCCAUUGAAAUAACUGUUCAUAUUUGCAAUCUUUACUAAGAAAUGCCUCAGAAUAACUUGGGCGGGAAGGCGAGAGCGGAGGAGGGAACAACUUGGUACCUUCCCAGUCAUUGAUUUAAUGUAGAUUAAUGCAGUAGACUGAGUCAUAGCAUCCCUGCCCACAUCUCUGCAGCUGGUUUCACACCCCUGCUAAUUAUUACUUGAAUGGGAUGUGCAGCUCAAAAGUUAAAAGUUCAGUCUCAGAAGCCUCCCUAUAAUUUUUAUUGUCCUGCCAACCAAAUAGGAGUGUCACCCCCUGUUUGGUGAGUUAAGAUGAAGUAUUAAAGUCACACAAGACAAGCAUGGGCCAUUGUCCAUCUGAACCCAAUCUUCGAUGCCAGGAACUAGCAUGCAAUCUCCCUUCUAUACAUGGUCACCUCUAACAUGUCUAAUACUAGGCUGACACCAAUUAUUUCGAACCAGACCUCUCAUUUUUGAGCAGGACUGGUUUCUAGGUGCUGUGCCCACAUGUUAAAAUGUUAAGUCAACACAAAGGCUAUAUAUUAGUCUCAUUUUUCCAGAAGUAAUUAUUUUAAUGACACUAUAAAGACUUUCAAUAGAUAUGCCUGAAACAAAACAUUUUCUAAAAAAUGUUCAAGUGGCCUUGGGUGACGGUACGAAACAAUCAUUCAUAACACCUGCAAAGUUAGGGCCAUGUUUGGAGUAGGGAGGUGUAAAUUCUACCUCUCUGCACCAGCAAAGGCCCCUGCUAUUUUACAACAAAAAAACAAAUCCAGACUCCAGCGAGAAACUGCUGAAUUGGAAUUCAUUUGCAAAUUGGAUACAAUUAACUUAGGCUUGAAUAGAGACUGGGAGUGGCUUAGUCAUUAUGCAAGGUAGCCUAUUUCCCCUUGUUUUUUCCUACCCCCCCCCCCCCGACGUUCUUGUUAAACCCAGGAUUUGUGCUGGAAAUGGCCCACCUUGAUUAUCAUACACAAUGUAAGGAGAGUGGUCACUUUGGAUAAGCUAUUACCAGCAGGAGAGUGAGUUUGUGUGGGGGUGUGUGUGUGUGUGUGAGAAAACCUGGAUUUGUGCUGGAAAUGGCCCACCUUGAUUAUCAUACACAUUGUAAGGAGAGUGGUCACUUUAGAUAAGCUAUUACCAGCAGGAGAGUGGGGUGGGAGGAGGUAUUUUUUCAUGCUUUGUGUGUGUAUAUAAUAAGAUCUUCUACACUUUCCACAGUAUGCAUCCAAUGAAGUGAGCUGUAGCUCACGAAAGCUUAUGCUCAAAUAAAUUAGUUAGUCUCUAAGGUGCCACAAGUCCUCCUUUUCUUUUUGCGAAUACAGACUAACACAGCUGUUACUCUGAAACCUGCACCACAGAGAAAUUCAACCUAAGCUGCUGCCUCCCUCAAGGAUUCUGUCAGUUUCAUUUUAGUUCUGUUUAGUUUUCAGCUGAGACUGAAGUUUACUCAGGAGCAGGUAAAAGUGCACUAGACAUACUGAGUCAAAUCCUGGGGUGAUGUAACUUACACACCAGUAAAUUGAUAUAACUUAAAUGCAGAAGGGGAUGGAAGUGUGGGCUUCUAGCUUGAAAACCACCCAUCAUGGCAGAGUAAGAUUAAACAGAAGGAGGCUAUUUCAUCUUACAGCUUCUGAUCUCCUAAUGCUAGCUUUCCGUGCUCCAACCCCAGUUCAACUUCACCCUUUUGUUCCAGUGGUGUUGUGCCCACUUACAGACACACUUAUUAGUGUGUAACUUACACUAGUCUUUACAUAACCUCAGGAUUUCGACCAAUGUGUUUCGUGUGCUUUUACUGCUUCCUAUAUUAGGACAUUACAUUUUUAAAAUGUCUGCCACACGUACAAUAUUGCCACAAUGAGGAGAUCAUAGAAUCAUAGAAUAUCAGGGUUGGAAGGGACCUCAGGAGGUCAUCUAGUCCAACCCCCUGCUCAAAGCAGGACCAAUCCCCAAUUAAAUCAUCCCAGCCGUGCUUUGUCAAGCCUGACCUUAAAAACUUCUAAGGAAGGAGAUUCUACCACCUCCCUAGGUAACGAGAUAUUCCAAUAUUUCUCUGAAAAAAUUUAUGGUUUGCCAUAGUGUCCAGCUUGCCAGGUGUCCAGGCUUGCCAGGUGUCCAGCUUUCAACCAGAACGGCUCCAGUCAGCACUGCAGAUCGAGCCGUUAAAAGUCCGGUUGGUGUGGGACUGGCAGGCUCCCUACCUGGCUCCAUGCAGCUCCCCGGAAGUGGUGACAUGUCUCUCAGCUCCUUGACGGAGGGACGGCCAAGGGGGCUCCAUGUGCUGCCCCUGCCCCAAGCGCCGGCUCAGCAGCUCCCAUUGGCCGGGAACUGUGGCGUAGGAGCUGAGCAACUUGUUGUCGCUUGCGGGGAGCCAUCCGAGGUGAGAACUGUCCAGAGCCAAUCCCCUCUCCCUCACCCCAACCCACCACCCCGUCCUGCCCCCCGGCCCAGCCUGAGCCCCCUUCCACACCCAAACUCCCUCUGAGAGCCCACACCCUGAAUCCCCUCCUGCACUCCAACCCCCGCCCCAGCUCAGAACCCCCUCCCACACUCUGAACCCCUCAGCCCCAGCCUGGAGCUCCCUCCUGCACCCCAAACCCCUCAUUCCCAACCCCACAGCCUGCACCCCCACCCCCCCACACACACUCCAACCCCCUUCCCCAGCCCAGAUCCCCAUCCUGCACCCUAAAGCCCUCAUUUCUGGCCCCAGCCCAGAGCCCAUGCCCCCUCCCACUCUGAAACCCUUGGUCCCAGCCUGGCGACCCCUCCCAGACCCCAACCCCACCACAGAUGCCCUCACCCCCUCCCGACUCCAAUCCCCUGCCCCAGCCCAGUGAAAAUGAGCAAGUGACAGAGAGAGGGGGAUGGAGUGAGAGAGAGGGGCAGGGGGCCUUGGGAAAGAGGCGGGGCAAGUGAGUUUGGUUUUAUCUCUUGACCAAUAAAUCUUAAUUGCCACCUCUACAAAAGUGAAAGGCCUGCUUACUCUUUAUGAAUAAAUUAAAAUUACUGCGAAACAAUGGUGGGAGUUUGCAGUAUUUCCCAUUCAUUCAAACACUGAGCAGCACUUCCUUUAACAAACUGUAUCAGCUGACAGAAAAACAAACGUUUCUGGACUCUUCAGUAUUUUUAUUUUUAGGGGAAGCAGUGUGGCUUAGUGAAUUUGGACUCCCCAGAACUAGGUUCUAUUCCUACCUCUGCUAUGGCCUGCUGGGUGACUUUGGGCAAAUCACUUCAUCGCCCCUGCCUCAGUUUUCUCAUCUGUAAAAUGGGGAUAAUGAUACCUCCUUUAUAAAGUGCUUUGAGAUCUACUGAUGGAAACUGCUAUAUAAGAUCUAGAUAUUUUUCAAAAUAUAUUGAUGAUUUUUACAAUUACUGCACAAGCAGAAUUUGCAUAUUUUUUGCAAAAUAAACUGCAGUUUUCCUUUUAGAAAUUUUAAGGUCAGGCUAAGCAUGUGGUGCUAAAUAUUCAACUUGUUUCAGUAAUUAUUUUAAAAAUAGUGCCACAAACGUUUUGUUUCAACAUACCCAAGUACAGUAUAGCAUUUAAGUUUAACAUAUUUAAAACAGAUGGUAAAUAAUACUUUGUACUUCUCUUUCAAAUAAGAUUUUAGUCCUUUGCACGGAGUAAAAUGUGUUUGGAGUAAAAAGUAGGGGAUUUUUCUUUUUCAAAACAAUGCAUCACUGCUUGAAUGUAGUGAUAAGAAUGUGAUUUUAACCUAGGCAUUUGGUGCUGUUUCAGAAACACACGGUGCGCGCACACACACAAGUUCUCAGUGCAAACUUGUGAGGCCUUGGGGGUAAAUCCACAACGAUUUGUUUUGAGGAAGACAGCUGUUUGCUAAAGCUUAAAAGAAUGCAAACUUGGACUCAAAUAUCAUAGCUAAAUUCAUGCUCACGUACUGUAUGGCACAACUCGGAACACGUGCACAAUUGAUGUUUCUCAUUUUGAUGAAAAUGAACAUAAAACAUUUUUGUAGAAUAAUAUCUUGCUCCUUCAGUAAAAAACUCUUUCAAUAGACGUCUUAUUACUUCAAAACUAUAAUCUCUCUCCUUUUACAUAAAUCAGCACAAUCUUGUUUUGCUAAAAUAAAAUAAACAUUGCCAGGAGAUGAAAUGGAUAGCCUGUUCUUUUGCAAGGCCUCCAGUCUUGGCACUGUGAACAAUUAGAUAGGAACCAAGUGACACCUUUUGGAUAAUGGUGCCAAGUCAGCAGAUGGAACACAUUACAGAACUGGGACAAUUCUGUUUAAACAAUUGAAUGCCAGGAUCCCAGGAUACCAAAUAAAGAGAGGUUAAAGGACAAUGCAUUAGAAAACAUGAAUGCUAAUGCCACUAGAGAUGCUGUUGAGUUUUUCAUUUCAAAGCAAUUUUGGUGGCUGCUGGAAACCCUCCUCACACUUAACGCUUUUGAUACAUGUUGUCCGCUGAUCAUUCCAAAGGAUGUCGGGAGUCUGAGUGGAUUGCAGAAAAAGAUAAUGAUGGACUAACGUGCUUCACAAAGAAAGUGAAGCAGAAAAGAUGAUAUUUAAUCACUGGGCCCAAUGCAGUGAGCAUUCCCAACUCCUAUGGAUUUCAAUGGCAAAUGAGGAUGCUCAGAGGCAAGAUCAGAUCCCACAGGAGGGAUUAAAUUUAUUUCUUUUUGUUGAGCAGUCUCAGGCAUUAAAAGAUGGCUUCUCUCUGCUUUAAUGUCCCAAUCAGUCCAAUAGGGAUAGUUUAAGCUUUCCAAAUAUCCUAUUUCUGAUUUAAUUUAAUCUCUCAUCUUCUCCUUCCAGUAACUGAUCUGAAUGGGAGUAGUACCUAACAUCAGCCAAGCUACAAUGUUCCAUAAUUUAGGCAGGAAAGGGUGGAACCAUGUAUUUUCCCCCAAGAAUAAUGUAGUCAGAGCCACUUUCCUACCAAAGCUAGUUAAAAUCUCUUGACUAGUCCUGGACAACAUUUUCUGGCUGAAACUGUUUUCUGUGAGAAAUAUAGAUAUGGUGACACUGAAAUGUCUUGCGAGCUCAUGCUGGUUUCACCAAAUACCACUGAUAAAAAGAAAAACUUAAAACAAUUUCAGAAAAAAAUAGUGUCUCACUUCUACAUUUUGUAAACAAAAUAUUGGGUUUUUUUGGUUCAAAAUAAUUUGGUUCAAAAUUGGCUUUAAUUUUAUUAAAACAGUAAAAAAAUGUUCAAAAUCAAAACAGGACGUUUUGAUUUUGUGAAAGAGAAAUGUUUGACCCCAAAUGAUAUUUUUUGGCUUUUCAAUUCCCUGAAAAUGUAAAAUAAAAAUACGAAACAAAUAUUUUUGGUUUGACCUGAAAUGAAUUUUUCAGAAUUGCCAGAAAACCAAAAAGUCAUUGGUCCACUAGUCCAGGGGAGUGUGAGUCUGAAGGUCCCCAGAGUGAAGCCAUGAUGCUGCUGCUGCUGAGUCCUAACCUGGCAGUUUUCAAUAACAAUCAUUUAGAUUCUAACUACUGUAAUGAUUACUAAUACAACUUCUUACAGCAGUUGAAAUUAGUCAUUUAAAAAAAGGUUUUGUUCGAAACAUUAUAAAGAGCUUAACAAUGGGAAGUUUUUAGAUGACAAGGUAAUGUUUGAAAUGUUCUCAAAGCAAUUCAAAACUACUCUGAAGCUGGUUUGGAACAUAAACUCCUCCAUCAGGCAAUGGGAAUGAAAGCUGAGUCCCUGAAAACACUCCAGUUGGUUCAGAAUGCAGCAGUCUGCCUGAUCUGGGUUCUGCUCUUCAUCUGCACAGCCUUCCAUGUCUUGGGCCUGGGCUAUCUCCAGGACUUGCUUCUCCCUAUGAGCUCAGGCAUUACCAUGAAAAUGGUGGAACUGCACUCACCAGGAGCUAAGGAACUGGCUGUUCUUAGGGUGAAGCUCACAUUGUAGGCUACAGGGCAUUCUCAGCAGCUCCACAAUGGCUGUAGGACUCUAAGGGUGAUAAUCACCAGAGAUCUUCCCCCAGCCAGGAUGAAAUGCAAAACCCAUCUUUUCAACCUAGAUAUCUCCCCAAAUCAAAACUAAGACACCAUAAGGAAUAUAAACCUUACUCGCUGAAAUCUUAAUACUUGAGACAUGUUUUGUUGCUUGUUUACUUUAUAUAAUUUCUAUCAGGCAAUCAGAUAUAACAGUACAAACGCUCACAGAGAUAGACAGACAUUGCUGGCUAGUUUGUACAUGUGCAUAAUAAAAAAAACAAGCAGAGCAAUGGAAACCUUCUGUUUUCAGGGCUCGCCAGAAAUAAACCAAUCCUAAUGGCAAUAUUUCCAAAUCCCCAUGAAUCCCACAGAUUUUUAGUUUACUGGACAUUUCUGGUGCUGCUGUAAUGAACCUAAGUUUUGAAGUUUGACAUUUCAACAACAACAACAAACACUUAUCCUCAUUCUUAUUAACCAAAUAUCUAGAUGAGUUGAUGUACCCCCUGGAAGACCUCUGCGUACUCCUGGUUGAGAACCACAUACCUAGGUAUUUGCCUAGUUUUACAACAGGCUACAUAAAACAUACUAGUGAAGUCAAUACAAACUAAAAUUUCAUACAAUGACUUGUUUAUACUGCUCUGUAUACUAUAUACUGAAAUGUAAGUACAAUAUUUAUAUUCCAGUUGAUUUAUUUUAUAAUUAUAUGGUAACAAUAAGAAAGUAAGCAAUUUUUCAAUAAUAGUGUGUUGUGAUACUGUUGCAUUUUUAUUUCUGAUUUUGUAAGCAAAUAGUUUUUUUUAAGUGAGGUGAAAUUUGGGGGGUAUACAAGACAAAUCAGACUCCUGAAAGGGGUACAGUAGUCUGGAAAAGUUGAGAGCCACUGUUCUAAGCAACACAAGUGACUAAAAAUGAGAAGCUGUAAGUCCAGCGGAUACUGUGUAGCAAUAUGGAACAUAUUCAAAUCUACAGUGUCCCGGAAAGCCUCAUCAACAUAUCUCUCUGCUUCCCUUAGCUCCUCCAGUUCUGCCACCCUGGCCUCCAAAGCCCGUACACGGUCUCUGAGGGCCAGGAGCUCCUUGCACCGAAUGCACACAUACACCACCCACUCACAGGGCAGGUAAUCAUACAUGCUACACCGAGUGCAAUAAACAGGAUAGCCCCCACUCUGUUGCUAGGCUUUUGCCUGCAUUUUCUCCUGCAGCUACCUAGAUUAAUGAUAGGGUUUUUGUUUAAAUCAAGAAGUUUUGAUUAUAAUUUAAAGGUUUUAAAGAAUGACAAGUGUACCUCGCCCCCCUCCCACUCCCUUUCCAAACUCCCUCUCAAAACUCCCUUUUAGCGGUCCCUGUUCGCAAAGCUUAUGUUCUUAUAUUAAAGGGCCUAAAAUAAUGAUUGAAAUUAUUAAUUGGAGAAAGAGUGUAACAGGCUGGCAGUGUUAUCUGAAACACCUAGUCCUAAUCGCUGGUGUUGAUCCUGUUGGGGAAUAUUAAAUAUGUUCCACUGAGUCAGUGUUGCAGGUGCCUCAGUACCCUACCCAUAUAUAAGGGAGGCAGGAGAAGCUCUCAUGAGAGAGAGAGGAUAUAAUGUGUGGACUGAGAAAUCCUGAAGGAGGAAUUCUAAGAACAUCCAGGCCUGAGAAGAAGAUCUGAGCUAACCUUUAUGUUAGCUUGCAAUUAAUGUAGGUACCAGUAAAACCAAAUCCAGGAAAGGGGAGAGUUUGGACUCUACAUAUUAUGUGGACUGUGUUUGAGAGCAGUUUGGAAAUGGCACCAGUUCACAUAUGGUGGAAUUUUUUUAAAACCAUUCUGCAAAGGAGGUAUCAGAAGGGCAAGUGGCAGAGAUCUGAGGUGGAUGAUGGAACAGCAGGCCCAACAUCAGCAGCAGAUCUUGAAGGAAGGAACCACAGCUCAACAGGAACAGCGGGCACAGCUACCGGAGCAGAUGUUCCGAGCUUCUUAGUCCAGGGAUACCACCUAGAUUAGUAGUAAGAGUGUCUAAGGGUAUGCUUACACCACACAUGACAGUCACACCUUCGUUUGUGGUGUAGAUGUACCCUAAGCAGGGACGAGACGAUGACCCUGAGUCUUUCCCUGUCACCUUUCAGUGGGCAGCCAAGGCCACUUAGAGAGAGGAAGAGCCUUGGGCCAUUUACUUAGCUACUUUUCAUUAACAGGAGAGGCCCAAGCAGCACAUUGGGCUGUGGGCAAGGACACUGCCACCAAGGCCAUCAAAUCUACCAUUUUGGACUGGUUGGGAAUCUCAAGAGAAAAGUACUGGCAACAGUUAUAGAGGUUCCAUUCCCCCUUAGGCCUAUGAUUGGACAUUUCUGCCCAGAGGCUGAUUGAAUGGAUGACUCUCUGGCUCAAGUCUUAAUCUCAGACAGUGAGAGAAUGGAGCUAUUUAGUUAUCCUAGACCCGUUUCUAGACAGUCUGACUAGGAGGGCAGACUGGUACAUCAGUACCAGCUGUCUAUGCCAGCAGAAGUUGCGUGACACACAGAGGCUACAUGCACAAUGAGAUGCCAAAGGGACUGCAAUGUCUGGGCAGUAGCUACGGCCAUGAAGGACUGAGAAACAAGCAGAGAGAAAACAAAGGGAUUCAGGGACUCCAACAGGAGCCAGAAAGGACAUUCACCCAAUCUUUGAGCUGCAGUCAGAAUCUCCUAUGGCUGAGUUUAAAAAGUCAAACCCCAGGGAGGACAAGUUUGGCUCUCCCUAGUGUGUGGACUGUGUUUGAGAGCAGACUAGGAUGGCACCUGGUCACACAGCUAUCAGGGAGCAAGUGGAAAACCUGGAUGGAAGAAAGGCAAUAAAAUGAUAUCCACAGCUCUUCUUUCUGUCAUUUAUAUCACCUGGUCUUCUGCAGCUAUGAAAUGUGAUGAUUACUCGGAUGCUUAGUUAAGAGCACCCUAGGGACCAAUCCUGCUUCCAAAAAAGUAGGGAAAAAACUCCCAUUGAGUUAAAUAGGAACAGGAGCAGCAGCCUUGUUGAUCAUACACUACAAGUAGUUUAAAUUGUUUGAAGUGGAUGAACAGUAGUUUUCUCUCCAACUUUGGUUUGUUUUCUAUUUUAUCGUUGCAAGGGAAUUUUCAUGAAAGUUAUUGUGUAAAAUAGUCAUUUGCCAAUGGGGAGAAUUUUUCAUUUCCCUCUUAAAAGACAAUAAAAAACAGCCUCUUUACUUUGUGGACUUAUUUAUUUUACCUUUAUUUAUUUAUUUAUUUUUACACUUACAUAAUUCACGCUUCCCUCUGGCUACAUUAUGACACAAAGUAACCAAUUGUUGUCUUUGAUUUAUAGUAUAUUUUAGACUUUGGAAACAGAGGUGUUUACAAUCCUGAAUACUAUACAUUCUAAACAAUGGUUACGCAGCCACUAUUGUUUUAUAUUGGCAUGUUUAUAACAAGUUGGGAGCUAUAUUCCCUGGUGGAGGUGAUGAUCUAACUGUGAAGCAAAAUUAAAUUAGGGCAAGAAGUGCUGGGAAUGUUUGCUUGUGUCUGUGUCAAGAACUGUUGCAAUCAGAUCUCACAUUUCAUGGAUAUGGUCGAUGCCAGAUCAGUUUACACAAGGGAUGUCAAAGACACCUAAUAAAAUAGUAUUUUUAAAUGAAAGUCUUUUAUUUGAUUGCUCUGAAGAGUUUUUGUAGAGUUCUUAUAGGAGAGACUUUCUGGAAAAUAUGAUUCCACACAAUCUCUUAUUUAAAAUAAACCUAUCGCCAAAUCUGAAAAUAUUUUACUUCUUCAUGGAAAAAUAUGCACUAUCUGCCUUUUACUGCACUCAUCACAUCCCACACUGUUCAUAAGGAUCUUCCAGAUAUUAUAUUCAAAGAUUUUUUAAAAAUCUCUGUACUUUAAUACUACCCAAAAGAAAAAUAUUGAGAAUUCUGUCUCUCUAUUCUGUACAUCUGCAGUAAAUUUAGUGGCCAAGAUAGCUGGCUUCUAAGUCCUUAUUUAGGCACCUAAAUAAACAGUAGAAGUUUAUGGGUGCUCAACACUUUUGGAAAUUAGGUUACUCAGUUCUAAUAUUUCUCCUACAUUUUGAAAAAGAGACUUCCCUCUCCCACCCCAACUAUGCAUUAAAAAUCGCUGUCCCUGCUUGAGAACUGUUGUGCUAUGUUUUUUGUCAAAGACAAAGGUAACAGACAAGGUAUAAACCUGGGGAAAGAAAGCAGAUUUACAGUAGGAAUAAGUCAGAGUUAAGGUUCCCUUCAAAGAAAUCCAAAAAUGUUAAGGCACAAAAUGCACAGUUAAGAUACUCCAACAAUCUUUAAUUCUGCAUGAUGUCAUUUGAUAAGUAUGUAGUUAGAGUUAAGGUAUUUUAGUGUUUGUGAUCCCAGAUUAGUUUAAACUCUUUUGUAAAGAUUUGUUUGUCCCCUUCUCCCUUACCUCUCACUGUGUCACUACCAGGAAGAGUUAAGGUUGUCUGAGAGCCUCAGCUGUGCAUCUUACCUGAAUAUGUCUGGAUUUCUUUAAAGCAUAAAUUUAAUUCUGAAUUUCUUGAGUUUAUUAGGCUUGAUUUUGAGAUAAUUACACUAUCCCUGUAAUAUUUUUUCUUCUUAAAUUACUGAUAUGAACACUCAACCUCAAGUCCAUUUUACCAUAGUUUUAGCCUGAGAAUUCCCUUAGUCUUUAAAAUUAUUAAGAAGUUCACACACAAACACUAAACAAGAUAGAUAUGAAUAAUCUUAAAUCAUUUGUUUAAAAUUAACUGUUAAGGGCAGAUUCACUGGUACAUCAAAGCACCAUAAAGUAGCCAGAGUGCACUGGCCACUUCAACUAUUUUUACAGUUGCUUGGUAGCACCAGUACAGGCGAACCCGGCCCUUAAUUUGCAGACAAUUUAUUGGUUUCGAGGGCUAUGUUUGUGAGAUUGGUACUAAAGUGAUGGGGGAGGUAGGGAGGGCCCAGUCCCUAGGUCCCAAUGUCCCUGUGAUUUAAGGGAUCCCCUGUGCUCCUGACUCAGUUCCCCCAACAGUGUUGCCAUGAGCGCCUAGGCAGGGCAACUAAACCCUAUGUAGUCCUCUGUCUUGAAUCCCCCUCCCCCAGCACCAAGUGCACAGGAAGGAGAGAAGGGAAAGGAGAAUGGGGGCGGGGCACGGGGGAGGACAGAAAGGAGAAAUGCAGCGGUAGGUAUUUCUGUUGUGUUUGCACCUUUUCAUGCGCUUUUAUUUGUUUUGUAAAUGUUCUUUUAUAACUGGUGUUUGAGUGUUGUAAUGACAGUUGAUCUGCUUGGCAAUGGGUUACUGCUGUACUGUUUAAACAUGUUUACAAAUAAAGUUUUUUAUGUCAUUGAGA